CUAAGUUAUAUCAUAUAUUAUAUCACGUGUAAAUAUCUCAACUUUCCAAGACGACAUUUUCCAAGAUGGCGGAAUAAUAUCACGUCAGUGGUGACAUCUGUAGGCACUAAUGAGACAAGACUUUAUAAUUUUGCGUAACAAUAUAAAAUUGUUUUUAAAAUAUAAUUCCUCGCGUGAAAUAAUGAAAGGUGAACCGCGACGAUUACCGAAACAGGGAAUUUCAGGCGAAUAUGAAGCGAGCGUCGUCACGAGUGGUCGGUUUUCGAAGCGAGCGAGGAACAGGCGGCCAGGUUCAUACAUAUUUGCAAUGUGCGGCCAAGAUGGACGAUAUGCAAUUGUAUGCACGAAGGCAUACGCGAACGAUAUCGCGGAGAGGAUGAGGAUAGAUGUGCAUACACAACGCGUGGGUAAAUGCUUUAUUGCGGCUUCGUGAAUAUCCUUGCACGGACGUAGAAGCGGUGUGUCUAUUGGUCGCGGGCUAUCCACACACGCGACAUGCCGCGCGUACACUCGCGCCAAAACGCGCCACGAUCGUAAAUAAAUGUGUACUGCGAACACGCCCGCGAGGUGUGGAAUUCAGCUUGUAUUUCGAUUCGUACGCCGCCGUAUACGGUAUAUAAUCGAACGUCUAUCUUUCUACAACCCUUCAAGUUGCAAAAUGUAACGACAAAAGCGAUCCAUUAUUCGUCGGAUUCGAACCUAUCCGAUUGCCCAUAACCUAUAAAUUUAUUUCAAAUUGACCGUAAUGAAGACGACUCUGAGGAUUAAUAGAAAUUCUCGAGAGAUUCUUUUCCGUGCAAAAUAACGCUCGGGAGUGAAAAAUGAGUGAGAAAAACGAGGUGUCGAGGUUAAUAUUCGAUAAUGUUUAGCAGUUUCUACGAUUGGUUAACGGCGGCGGCGAGCGUUCGUAUCGUUCGACGAAUGGAAAUUCACGAUUCGUUCGACACGGAUAACCUGUGUGGGGAACAGAUAUACGAGAACGUAACGCACGCGUACCAUGGCACAAUACGCGAGAGAGGAUCGAGAGAGAGGCUAGCGAUACAAAUGCAUCAGUUUCACGGCUCGUCGGACAAGACAACGAGAUUCAUGUCCUCCUCAUGCAUGAAUCAACAACCUUUUCCAUAUUUACAUAACAACGCUUGAUUCGCGAUGUGCACCAUGUAGCCGGGUGGGAGGCGGUUGACAGAUUGAGAGUAUGGAUAGGCUUUAUUCUCUCGAGCAGUCGUCCUUCGGAACGUCGAAUGAACACACAGAGGAGAGCCGGCCCCGAAGCUCGGGGAAAGGCCGAGGAACGAAGACGGAGAAGACGCCUCCGAGGAGGUAAAAGAGAAACGGUCGACGAAUGAAGAGAUGGAAGGGAAAGGAGGAUAUUUCUGACGCGUGAUCUGAAUAUCGAGGGUCCAUACGAUGACACGCGAGUCUACAACUCUUCGACCAAAUCUCCAUAAGAUCUAUCGCGAAACCACGAAACCAUUUAUCUCGCGAAUAUUACGAAUUUACAAAUAUUAUACCAACCUUUCCUUCUUUCCAAUUUGUUCUUAGCUUUCUCUAUCGUGAUUCAUCAUUCGAUGAUGUAACACUCCGAUUAGAAAUAAGCAAUAGAUUAAUAAAAAAGUAAAAAAUGAGGUAACGACCGAUCGCGGGAACGUUACGAAUUGUAACUAUUUCUUUUUCUCCAUUUCUCAGCCUUCUCUCGUGACCCAUGCGCCAUCUGAUGACGUAAUCCUUCAAUUAGGAAUAAACACUAGACCAAUAGGAAGACAGUUAAUCAUAGGCCGCCAUAUUAGUCGUCUCGAAUUUUUCGUACGGUGCGUUCACGUGCACGAAAGUGAUUAAUUGGACGAUAAAUUGUGUGACGAUUGAACAAUGUGAAUCUUCUUGACUCAUUUCUAAGUGAAAUCUGACGUUCUCUAUCCUCGAUAAUGCGGUUAAUCCACGAGACGGGCCACUACGUUAGAAGAAAUGCAAGACGCGAAGGAAGAAAAGCAAAGUGAAAGUGAAAACUCACGGCACACCCUGUAUACACAGAAUAUAAUGCACGGAAUGGGAAUACCAUAAUUAGAACCGGGUUAAGCGAAUGCUAACCGCUAUCCUCCUUAUCGGAGUCUCCCUCAUCGCUUGCGCGCGCGCGCGCGCGGAUAAGCUGUUCCAGGGGAUUCCCAUAAACAGUAACACCUGCCAAGCACAUAGGAAACGUUACAUGCAACCGAAGGAGAGGAGAAAAAUAUUCUUGCCGGAUUGAAUAAGGUUUAUACGCAAAGAUAUCGCUACUAUUGGACGAUCAUUAUCGGCUUUUAUGACUCAAUGAAACAUCGUGUGCGAAAUGGCCGUUCGAAAACCGGCCAUUAAUCGUUCGUUACUGCAAUGUUUGUCAAAAAAAAAAAAAA